AGUUAUCUCCUAUAUUAAUUUGGAGUUCUACAUUGGUUAGGAAUCCUUUCUUAACAAGGAUAUCCUACAAACAUCUAUUUCUAUAACACUCCCCCUCAAAUUGAAGCAUAGAUGUUAAUCAUAACCAACUUGUUACAAAUGUAAUCAACUUGAGCUCCAUUCAAAGUUUUUGUAAACAUAUCUCCUAAUUGCUCUCCAAUUUUGAUAUUGUGUUGAGAUGACCCCUUGUUGAAGCUUUUCAUAGACAAAAUGACAAUUAAUCUCAAUAUGCUUGUUCCGUUCAUGGAACACAGGGUUAGAAGCAAUAUUGAAAGCAACUUGAUUAUCACACCACAAAUAUACAGGCAAAGAGAUCUUAA
rnacentral:misc_RNA from 1 species